CUGCCACGAGAGAGCAUAUAGUGCUAUAAAUGGCAUUAGGCACUGUCACGAGAGAGCAUAUAGUGCUAUCAAUGACGUUAAACACCACGAGAGAGCAUAUAGUGCUAUAAAUGGCGUUAGGCACUGCCACGAGAGAUCAUAUAGUGCUGUAAAUGGCGUUAGGCACUGCCACGAGAGAGCAUAUAGUGCUAUAAAUGGCGUUAGGCACUGCCAC
rnacentral:lncRNA from 1 species